rnacentral:rRNA from 1 species
UACGGGAGCAGCAGGGGGAAUAUUGCACAAUGGGCGAAAGCCUGAUGCAGCUAUGCCGCGUGUAUGAAGAAGGCCUUAGGGUUGUAAAGUACUUUCAUCGGGGAGGAAAAACAAAACUAAUAAUUUUAUUUCUUGACGUUACCCGAAAAAGAAGCACCGGCUAACUCCGUGCCAGCAGCCGCGGUAAUACGGAGGGUGCUAGCGUUAAUCAGAAUUACUGGGCGUAAAGAGCACGUAGGUGGUUUUUUUAAAGUCAGAUGUGAAAUCCCUGGGCUUAACCUAGGAACUGCAUUUUGAAACUGAAAUACUAGAGUAUCGUAGAGGGAGGUAGAAUUCUAGGUGUAGCGGUGAAAUGCGUAGAUAUCUGGAGGAAUACCUGUGGCGAAAGCGGCCUCCUAAACGAAUACUGACACUGAGGGUGCGAAAGCGUGGGGAGCAAACAGGGAUUAGAUACC